AUAUCAUAAAAUAUGAUGGAGCUGAUUUGCCUUGUUUUUCACCUUUUUGGAAAAACAAAAAAGGAGGAAAUACGUGCACAUAAAAGCCGUUACUCGUCUCCAAUGCUGUCAACUUGAUAUUGAAAAGCAUCGAUUUCUCCUUCGUGUAGAAAGCAAAAGCGGAGCUGGGCUUUAAUUAAUACUUUCUUCAACUUGAAUCUUCUUGACUGUUAAAAAGCAGAGUUCUUGUCCAUGCGAAAGAUUUUUCGAUUUAUCUAUUUUUUUUUUUUAUUUGUUCGUUCGCCGGAGGGAGGGAGUUCUUUGACGUCGUUUUGGAAUAUGUGUUCCGUGGCAGAAAUGGCCAAGCGUGGAUAUAAGCUGCGUAUCCUUUUUCUUUUUCUUUUUUUUGGGGCUUUUUUUUGUUUUUGGUUCGUAUUUAAUUUUCUUGAAUUGCUUGCUGAGCUGAAGUUGAGCUCGGUUUUUGGUAAUUCUGAUCUGAUUCGGGGAAGUUUUGUGCUGCUAAGUUGAAGUUGAGCUAUAGUACUGCUGGAUAACUUUCAUGACGUGCCUUUAUCUGUGUUUUGUUUUUUUUUUUUUUGGGUUAUUAUUAUUAAUUUUUUUCUAUUUUUAGAAGACGGUGAAGUCGAUGCCCUGUUUGGUUGCUGAGAAGAUGUCGAAGUAAAAGAAUAAAGUUAGGAAAUUUUAAGUUUAGUCUUGUAGGACAGAGUUAAAAAUUUGUGGUCCAAGUAAAUUCGCUUUGAUUUGGUUCAAUUAGAAAUUUUAGUCUAUUUUACAGAAACAAAAACAGUUAAUGGGUGUAAGACCCAGUUCGCAUGCUAAUUUAUUGAAGUUGAGUUUGUAUUAGCGUAAUCAUGUCUGUAUUGAUCAAGCUAAGUUCCUGUUCAUUUUAA